UACAGAGGGGGCAAGCGUUGUUCGGAAUUACUGGGCGUAAAGGGCGCGUAGGCGGCCUUCUAAGUCGAACGUGAAAUCCCCGGGCUCAACCCGAGAACUGCGUCCGAGACUGAAAGGCUAGAAUCCGGGAGAGGGAUGUGGAAUUCCAGGUGUAGCGGUGAAAUGCGUAGAUAUCUGGAGGAACAUCGGUGGCGAAGGCGGCAUCCUGGACCGGUAUUGACGCUGAGGCGCGAAAGCGUGGGGAGCGAACAGG
rnacentral:rRNA from 1 species